GACCCUGGCUCAGGAUGAACGCUAGCGACAGGCCUAACACAUGCAAGUCGAGGGGCAGCGGAGAGGUAGCAAUACCUUUGCCGGCGACCGGCGCACGGGUGAGUAACACGUAUGCAAUCCACCUGUAACAGGGGGAUAACCCGGAGAAAUCCGGACUAAUACCCCAUAAUAUGGGCUCUCCGCAUGGAGGGUCCAUUAAAGAGAGCAAUUUUGGUUACAGACGAGCAUGCGCUCCAUUAG
rnacentral:rRNA from 1 species